CCCCCAGUAGCGGCGAGCGAACGGGGAGCAGCCCAGAGUCUGAAUCAGCUUGUGUGUUAGUGGAAGCGUCUGGAAAGUCGCACGGUACAGGGUGAUAGUCCCGUACACGAAAAUGCACAGGCUGUGAACUCGAAGAGUAGGGCGGGACACGUGGUAUCCUGUCUGAAUAUGGGGGGACCAUCCUCCAAGGCUAAAUACUCCUGACUGACCGAUAGUG
rnacentral:rRNA from 1 species